CCUACGGGCGGCUGCAGUGGGGAAUAUUGGACAAUGGGCGAAAGCCUGAUCCAGCCAUGCCGCGUGUGUGAAGAAGGCCUUCGGGUUGUAAAGCACUUUCAGUGGGGAAGAAAGCCUUGGGGCUAAUACCCUCGAGGAAGGACAUCACCCACAGAAGAAGCACCGGCUAACUCCGUGCCAGCAGCCGCGGUAAUACGGAGGGUGCGAGCGUUAAUCGGAAUUACUGGGCGUAAAGCGCGCGUAGGCGGUCUGAUAAGCCGGUUGUGAAAGCCCCGGGCUCAACCUGGGAACGGCAUCCGGAACUGUCAGGCUAGAGUGCAGGAGAGGAAGGUAGAAUUCCCGGUGUAGCGGUGAAAUGCGUAGAGAUCGGGAGGAAUACCAGUGGCGAAGGCGGUCUUCUGGACUGACACUGACGCUGAGGUGCGAAAGCGUGGGUAGCAAACAGGAUUAGAUACCCUAGUAGUC
rnacentral:rRNA from 1 species